UAGAAAGUUUUAAAUCGAUUUCUUUUGAGGAAAAAGGACUUGGUAGAACUGAUGUUAUUUUUCAUAAUAUUGAUACCGGUGAUUCCGUACCGAUCAGACAACGUUAUUAUCGCAUGUCUCCAGAGAAACAAAGAAUAAUUACAGAACAGGUUGACGAAAUGCUGUCCCUGGAUGUUGUUGAGCCAUGCGAAAGUCCUUGGUCAUCACCAGUAUUAGUUGUCAGCAAAAAAGACGGCAAACCGCGAUUUUGCUUAGAUAGUAGAAAACUUAAUUCUGUCACUAAGAAGGAUGCAUACUGUCUCCCUUAUGUAUCAGAAAUUUUGGAUAACCUAAGAGAUGCCAGGUAUCUGUCCAGCAUAGACCUAUCUAAAGCCUUCUGGCAAAUACCUAUUCAAAAAGAGGACAAAGAGAAGACCGCAUUCUACGUUCCGGGCCGUGGAACUCUGCAGUUCAAAGUUACAGCGUUUGGUCUAUCAAAUGCUCCAGCCACUCAACAGCGCCUAGUAGAUACUCUCUUUGGCCCAGAGUUUGAACUAAAGGUCUUCGCAUAUUUAGAUGACGUCAUAGUUAUAAGCUCUACCUUUAGCGAACACGUUUCAUUGCUCCAGCGUGUCCUUGAAAAAUUACAAAUGGCUAACUUAACGGUCAACUUGAGUAAAUGUCAAUUCUUCCGUAGCCAACUAAGAUAUCUUGGUUAUAUUGUCGACGUUCAAGGUCUGCGUACUGAUCCAGAAAAAGUAGAGGCUAUACUUAAUUAUCCGACUCCCAGCAAUCGAAAAGAGGUCAAACGGUUUUUGGGUACAGCUUCUUGGUAUAGACGGUUUAUCCCGAACUUUAGUACAAUUGCCGGUCCAUUGAACAAGUUGACCUCCACUAAAAAAUGUACUCCGCCUUUUCUCUGGACAGAUGAAGCUGACAAGGCUUUUUUGAAACUUAAAUCUCUUCUUGUUGAUACACCUGUUCUUGCUUGUCCAAAUUUUAGCUACCCUUUUGACGUUCAUACUGAUGCUAGUAAUUUUGGUGUCGGGGCUAUGCUGUCCCAGACGAUUGAUGGAGUCGAACAUCCAGUCGCAUACAUGAGUAGAUCUCUUACUGGAUCAGAGAGAAAUUACAGCGUCACAGAACGUGAAACACUUGCUGUUCUAGUGGCCCUGGAGCAUUGGCGAUGUUACUUGGAGAGUGGAAACCAGUUCACUGUUUACACUGACCACUCGGCCCUUAAGUGGUUCCUCUCACUUUCAAACCCAACCGGCAGAUUGGCCCGAUGGGGUGUCCGAUUAUCAGCCUUUAACUUUAAUAUAAAACACCGCCGCGGUAAGGACAAUGUUAUACCUGAUAGUCUUUCUAGGUUGCCUACUCUUGCUGCGAUUUCGGGAUCAUCUAGUCCAGUGACUCAAGACACUUGGUACCAGAAUAUAUUUCAAGGAUGUCAGGAUUCACCAACUAGUUACCCUAAUUAUAGAGUUGAGAAUGGUUCCUUAUAUCGUUUUAUGAAAAGUAAAAAUACCCUUACAUCUGAGUUUGAAUGGAAGCUCGUUGUUCCACAGGAGCAACGCCUCGGUGUUUUAAGGGAUAAUCAUUCGGAACCCAUUUCGGGUCAUUUCGGAAUUUUCAAAACCUACAAAAGAUUAUUACUUCGCUACUACUGGCCAAAGAUGUAUCCCGAUGUUGUCAGUUACGUGUCUUCCUGUGAAACUUGCCUAGCUUAUAAGCUUUCAACUCAGGGUACUUUAGGUAUGAUGGGGAGACCUAAAGAGUGUGGUAGACCUUUUCAAACCCUAUCUAUAGAUUUAGUUGGUCCCCUACCGGCUUCAAGAAAACAGCACUGUUAUAUAUUUGUAGUGACAUGCUGUUUUUCCAAAUAUUGCCUCAUGUUCCCGCUACGCAGAGCUACUGCUGAUCUUGUUAGUAAACAUCUGGAAGAUUACGUCUUCUUGGUUCACGGCAUCCCUCAAACCAUUAUCCUGGAUAAUGGCGUGCAAUUCACGAGCCGUGAAAUGGAAUCUUUAUUUAAAAAAUAUGCUGUACCUAAUGUUCACUUCACGCCUAAAUAUACUCCCCAAAUGAACACCGUUGAAAGGUAUAACAAAACCAUUAUAACGGCAGUUUCCACUUUUGUUCAUGAUGACCAUCACUCAUGGGACAUUAAUCUACCAAAAAUCCAAUUCGCAAUCAAUAAUUCAGUUAAUGAAACGACUGGUUAUACUCCAUCAUUCCUCGUCCAUGGUCGUGAAUUAGUUACGAGUGGGUCUCAUUAUAUAGAAAAUGAUAUCCCAAACGAACUAAUUUUUCUUCCACGCGACCCAUAUGCAGAAAACUUGGGACAUUUGGCAAAUAUUUUCGAUAAAGUACAGGUUGCACUUUGGCAAGCACAUUUAAAAAACACUCAGCGUUAUAACUUGCGUCGAAAGCAUGCUGAAUUCAAUGUUGAUGAUAUCGUUUGGAAGCGAUGUUACUUUCAGAGCGACAAGGAUGCACGUUUUGCUAAGAAGCUGGCACCUAAGUACGUUAAAUGUAGAAUAAAGCAAAAGAAAUCACCAUUAGUAUAUGUUCUCGAGGAUGUUAUGACCGGUCAUAAUUUAGGAGCUUGGCACAUAAAAGAUCUUAAAAUGCAAAACAAGUAAAUCUUUGCAUAAUCCUUGCUAAUUCAUAACAUAGGUGUAGGUUCAGAUUUUACGACAGGUAAAAUCUUUUUCUUGGAAGAGGGGUACUGUAACAUUUGAAAAUGUUAUUUUUUUAUUUUACGAUUCAAUGGAUCAUAAGUUUUUGAACGUAAAUACGCUCGGGGCGAAGGGCGCGGGGAGUGCGCGCCGCAGGCGCAGCGUCUCGGCCAGAGACAGACUGCCACACUCGCCAGCCUCGCUUGAAACUUGAACUUGAGCACCCGCGUACCGCUUGAUGCGGCGCGCGUCUUAAUAAAUCGAUCUCGUUGGCGUUUUUUCAUAGUGCGAGUUUAAUAAAACUUUAAUAAAACCUCACAGUUAAUCAAACUUAAGUGUCUAGCCUACAUUUCAUCCCGUAACUGGGAAUUACGGCCGGGCUCAGUUUGAGCUAGGACUUAUUGUGGACCGUUCCGGAGGGGACAGAGAAGUGGACAUCACGGCGUCCCACGGGGACCGCAGGAGGCCGCACAGGGGAGUCUGGCACAAGUGUUACGUGGAACCGAUCUUUUUACAACCUACCCACCUGUACCUUAAAAUCAAAUAUUUUUAAACUUAGAUUAAUAAAUUUUGUAAACUUA